CGUUUACUCUUUGACACACCUCACGUGCACCCCAUUCGCAAGGGCCCUUCGGGACCCGCGCGUUUCAUCUCCGACUCGCAUGUCUACAGAAUGUCGAUAGCAUUUGAUAUAUAUAUAAAAUACAACUUUCAGCAACGGAUCUCUUGGCUCUCGCAUCGAUGAAGAACGCAGCGAAUCGCGAUAAGUAAUGUGAAUUGCAGAUUUUCCGUGAAUCAUCGAAUCUUUGAACGCACCUUGCGCUCCUUGGUAUUCCGAGGAGCAUGCCUGUUUGAGUGUCAUCGAAAUCUCAAACCAAGCUUUUCUUGACUUCGGUCGAAGGCUCGGGUUUGGACCGUUGGGAGUCUGCGGGCGACGCAUGUCGUCGGCUCUCCUGAAAUGCAUUAGCGGUGGGCAUGCAAGUCUUGCUUGGCACCAGCCUCUCCCGGCGUCAUAGUGAUCGUCGCGGGCUGUCCAGCUGCAAGGGACAUGUCCCAUGCUUCUCCAACUUUGCGAGCCCUCUCCUGGGCUCUGCGUUCGAAGGCUUGACCUCAAAUCAGGUAGGACUACCCGCUGAACUUAAGCAUAUCAAUAAG
rnacentral:rRNA from 1 species